AGAGUUGAUCCUGGCUUAGGAUGAACGCUGGCGGCGCACAUAAGACAUGCAAGUCGAGCGAACUUAAUUCAUUCUUUAGAUUGAAAGCGGUAGUGGCGGACUGGUGAGUAAUGUAUAAGCAACCUGCCUAUCAGAGGGGAAUAACAGUGAGAAAUCAUUGCUAAUACCGCAUAUGCUAACAGAAUCGCAUGAUUUAGUUAGGAAAGGAGCAAUCCACUGAUAGAUGGGCUUAUAUCUGAUUAGCCUGUUGGUGGGGUAACGGCCUACCAAAGCUACGAUCAGUAGCCGGACUGAGAGGUUGAACGGCCACAUUGGGACUGAGAUACGGCCCAGACUCCUACGGGAGGCAGCAGUCGGGAAUAUUGCGCAAUGGAGGAAACUCCUGACGCAGUGACGCCGCGUAUAGGAAGAAGGUUUUCGGAUUGUAAACUAUUGUCGUUAGGGAAGAUACAAGACAGUACCUAAGGAGGAAGCCCCGGCUAACUAUGUGCCAGCCGCGGC
rnacentral:rRNA from 1 species